GUGGCUCCUAAGAGCUGUCUAGGCUGCCAAGGCACCGCUGCUGCAGGCGAAGGGCCAUGAGGGGGGCCAUGUGUUGUGCGUCUUUUCUUCAAAUCUUACAUUUUAAGCAAAGGAAGAAAGAAAAAGGUCAGAUCUUAGAGAACGUGUCCACCAUAUCACCUUUAGCCUCAUCUGAAAGAGAGGGAAAAAAUAUGAAAAUAUGGGAAAGGUGUAGGAAAUCAUACCAAGAAUAUAUGCCACAGUGAGGACGAGUACAGCUCCCUGAGAGAACCUAUAGCCCCAACGGAUGGACCAGAGUGACCAGGUUCCUUUCUGCCAAUUUCUGGACCAUGUGAAUGUUGAACAAUUUUAAAGGAAUAUGGAAUUCACCAAAGAGGCAUCAGGUCAUUCCAAGAAGGCCACUCACACAAAGGACUAAAAAGUAAGGAUGAACCAAGUUACAUGCCUCAGAAAGUUGUUCAUGCUAAAGCAGAAGUUUUAGGAACAGUCAAAAGAGUUGAGGAUGCCUGACCUUCCAACAAGUCUCAUUUUCAAACAGUCUGCCAAAUCCAGUGUCUAUUUUAA